rnacentral:rRNA from 1 species
UACGUAGGGUGCAAGCGUUGUCCGGAAUUAUUGGGCGUAAAGAGCUCGUAGGCGGUUUGUCGCGUCUGCUGUGAAAACUCGGAGCUUAACUCCGAGCCUGCUUCCGAUACGGGCAGACUAGAGGUAGGCAGGGGAGAGCGGGAACUCCUGGUGUAGCGGUGGAAUGCGCAGAUAUCAGGAAGAACACCGGUGGCGAAGGCGGCUCUCUGGGCCUUACCUGACGCUGAGGAGCGAAAGCGUGGGUAGCGAACAGG